rnacentral:rRNA from 1 species
AUUGAACGCUGGCGGCAUGCCUUACACAUGCAAGUCGAACGGCAGCACGGGGCAACCUGGUGGCGAGUGGCGAACGGGUGAGUAAUGCAUCGGAACGUGCCAUUGAGUGGGGGGAUAACGUAGCGAAAGUUGCGCUAAUACCGCAUAUUCUGUGAGCAGGAAAGCAGGGGACCGCAAGGUCUUGCGCUCUUUGAGCGGCCGAUGUCAGAUUAGCUAGUUGGUGCGGUAACGGCUUACCAAGGCGACGAUCUGUAGCGGGUCUGAGAGGAUGAUCCGCCACACUGGAACUGAGACACGGUCCAGACUCCUACGGGAGGCAGCAGUGGGGAAUUUUGGACAAUGGGCGCAAGCCUGAUCCAGCCAUGCCGCGUGAGUGAAGAAGGCCUCGGUUGUAAG